rnacentral:rRNA from 1 species
AUUGAACGCUGGGGCAGGCUUAACACAUGCAAGUCGAGCGGAGCGAGGGUGCUUGCACCUUAGCUUAGCGGCGGACGGGUGAGUAAUGCUUAGGAAUCUGCCUAUUAGUGGGGGACAACAUUCCGAAAGGAAUGCUAAUACCGCAUACGCCCUACGGGAGAAAGCAGGGGACCUUCGGGCCUUGCGCUAUCAGAUGAGCCUAGGUCGGAUUAGCUAGUUGGUGAGGUAAUGGCUCACCAAGGCGACGAUCCGUAACUGGUCUGAGAGGAUGAUCAGUCACACUGGAACUGAGACACGGUCCAGACUCCUACGGGAGGCAGCAGUGGGGAAUAUUGGACAAUGGGCGAAAGCCUGAUCCAGCCAUGCCGCGUGUGUGAAGAAGGUCUUCGGAUUGUAAAGCACUUUAAGUUGGGAGGAAGGGUUGUAGAUUAAUACUCUGCAAUUUUGACGUUACCGACAGAAUAAGCACCGGCUAACUCUGUGCCAGCCGCCGCGGUAA